AAGAAAAAUAAACCGUGGUUUCCAUGCCCAAUGUUCGACCGUUCUUCUUAUCUUCUUUUUAUUAUCUUUGUUAUUUCUUAAGACAAUUCACGCAUAUAAUAUUAAUCAUGUUUUAUCAUCUAACAAUAAUGAAAAUACGAAUUAUAAAAAAAUUUCAUAUAAAACGGAUAGUCAAAGAUGGACACGGAAACCCAGGAUUUGCCUUUUU
rfam:Oryza sativa (indica cultivar-group) chromosome 11, whole genome shotgun sequence.